rnacentral:rRNA from 1 species
AGAGUUUGAUCCUGGCUCAGAUUGAACGCUGGCGGCAGGCUUUACACAUGCAAGUCGAACGUGAAAGCUCUUCGGAGUGAGUAGAGUGGCGGACGGGGGAGUAACGCGUAGGAAUCUACCUAGUAGUGGGGGGCAACUUGGUGAAAACCAUGCUAACCGCAUACGCCCUAUGGGGGAAAGCGUGGGACCUUCGGGCCACGUGCUAUUAGAUGAGCCUGCGUAAGAUUAGCUAGUUGGUGGGGUAAAGGCCUACCAAGGCGACGAUCUUUAGCUGGUCUGAGAGGAUGAUCAGCCACACUGGGACUGAGACACGGCCCAGACUCCUACGGGAGGCAGCAGUGGGGAAUAUUGGACAAUGGGCGCAAGCCUGAUCCAGCAAUGCCGCGUGGGUGAAGAAGGCCUGCGGGUUGUAAAGCCCUUUCAGUGGGGAAGAAAAGCAGCGGGUGAACAGCCUGCUGUCUUGACGUUACCCACAGAAGAAGCACCGGCUAACUCCGUGCCAGCAGCCGCGGUAAUACGGAGGGUGCGAGCGUUAAUCGGAAUUACUGGGCGUAAAGCGCGCGUAGGCGGUCCGGUCAGUCGGAUGUGAAAGCCCUGGGCUCAACCUGGGAAUUGCAUUUGAAACUGUUUAACUAGAGUGUGGUAGAGGAGAGUGGAAUUUCAGGUGUAGCGGUGAAAUGCGUAGAUAUCUGAAGGAACACCAGUGGCGAAGGCGGCUCUCUGGACCAACACUGACGCUGAGGUGCGAAAGCGUGGGUAGCAAACGGGAUUAGAUACCCCGGUAGUCCACGCCGUAAACGAUGUCAACUAACUGUUGUUGGCGGGUUUCCGCUUAGUGGUGCAGCUAACGCAAUAAGUUGACCGCCUGGGGAGUACGGCCGCAAGGCUAAAACUCAAAUGAAUUGACGGGGGCCCGCACAAGCGGUGGAGCAUGUGGUUUAAUUCGAUGCAACGCGAAAAACCUUACCUACCCUUGACAUCCUGCGAACUUUCUAGAGAUAGAUUGGUGCCUUCGGGAACGCAGUGACAGGUGCUGCAUGGCUGUCGUCAGCUCGUGUCGUGAGAUGUUGGGUUAAGUCCCGUAACGAGCGCAACCCUUGUCCUUAGUUGCCAGCACGUAAUGGUGGGAACUCUAAGGAGACUGCCGGUGAUAAACCGGAGGAAGGUGGGGAUGACGUCAAGUCAUCAUGGCCCUUAUGGGUAGGGCUACACACGUGCUACAAUGGCCGGUACAGAGGGCUGCUAACUCGCGAGAGUACGCUAAUCCCUUAAAGCCGGUCCUAGUCCGGAUUGGAGUCUGCAACUCGACUCCAUGAAGCUGGAAUCGCUAGUAAUCGCGGAUCAGAAUGCCGCGGUGAAUUCGUUCCCGGGCCUUGUACACACCGCCCGUCACACCAUGGGAGUGGGUUGCAAAAGAAGUGGGUAGGCUAACCUUCGGGAGGCCGCUCACCACUUUGUGAUUCAUGACUGGGGUGAAGUCGGAACAAGGUA